ensembl:lncRNA
CUAACACUGGGAUAAAAAGCUGGUAUGCAGGGCAUGUAGUUACACCUAAGUCCCCCUCAUCGAAUUGAUGAGGAGCACACAAAGGCAGAGGAGAGGAGUAGGGGAACAAGACAUCUCAUCCUGAUGAUGGCUCACAGCUCCAUUGCAACUAGGAUGUUGGCUCUGCUUGGGCUGCUCUCUUUUCUCCCUGUCUCCUCAGCAAUGAUUGCCAGACUUCCAGACAACCAGUCUCCUCCACCCGUCGGCUCUCCAGAACAACCCGUUCCUCCGGAGGAUUACGGAAUGGCCUCAGGAUCAUAUGGCAUGCCACAAGACCAAAUCCCAAGGGCACGGGGACACAUGCCAUCUGAUGGCUACCCUAUGCCACCUGAUAGCUUCCUGAUGUCAUCUGAUGGUGAUCCCAUGCCCAUGGAUGACUACCCCAUGCAUUCUAGUGGUUACCCAAUGCCACCCGACAGCUACCCAAUUUCAUCUGAUGGUGAUCCCAUGCCAUAUGAACAUGACCCAAUGGCAUGGGAAGGACAAGCCAAGGACUCAGGUGGCUACCCCAUGGCAAUACCCCAUGUGCCUCCUUCGAAUCUGACUCUGCUGAACAUGACCAGACCCAAUAACCUGACGUGGGAUUAUGAUGAGCCGAUGGUGCCCGAUCCAUCCUACUGCGAC